UAGCAAUCAGCGAGACUCCGUGGGCGUAGGACCCUCCCAGCUAUGUGCGGGAUAUAAUCUCGUGGUGCGCCGUUUUUUAAGCCGGUCGGAGAAGCGCAAUAUUCGGGUGGGAGUGACCCAACUUUCCAGAUGGGACCAUUUAAUUGCAGGAAAACAAGCUCAGAGAUUCCACUCAUUCUACAUUAUGGAUAUGUGCAGCCGAAGCAAGCACAAAGCCCCACUUUUACACAUGGACAGUGAUGAGUCACGAACAAGAUUUGGCUCUCAGUCUAACUAACCUACUUGAGAUCUCGAGAAUUAUCUCCAAAGGUUUCCUGUGAGGUAGAAUUAGAAAAUAUUUUUAAAUCUUGAGGAAGAGAUGCAAGUAGCUUGGGAGAUUUUCAUUAUCAUGGAAAAUAGAUCACUCAAGGGGCCAACCACAACUGGGUGCCCACUGCUCUAGGGAAGGUUAACAUGGGGCUUUCUACUGCCUAAGGUACUAUACAGGAUAUAAAGGUGCCUCAGUGUAUGUAUCUGGUAGCAAAGAAGAAGAAACAAACACUGAUGUCUUUCUGCCACAUUAUUUGAACCUCUCUGACAGUUUAGAACAAGCCCAACUAAUAUCUGCUAGAGAAAAGACCAACACAGGACUCAAAAGAUCUCUUAACAUGAAGUUCUCAGUUAAGUCUAGGAUAAGAUGUGGGUUCCACAUCAGGUUUUGAAUGUGGGGGGAAUUGAAAAACUGAUGGUAGGAAGGAAAAGGUAUUAUUCUGUAAGCUGAUAGAUACUGCCAAUAAUAUUCAUUUUAAUGUCCCAAUCACAGAGAUAAAAGUCAAAUUAGGCCAGGCGUGGUGUCACACCUGUAAUCCCAGCAUUUUGAGAGGCUGAGGUGGAAUUGCUUGAGCCCAGGAGUUCAAGACCAGCCUGGGAAACAUGGCAAAAACCCCAUCUCUACUAAAAAAAAAAAAAAAAACUUUAAGCCAAAGGAAACUUGGGGUUCAAAUGAAUAGGUAUUGCUCAUUUUUUCAAUACUUAGAUUUAUAGAAUAUAUGUAAAUCAGAUAUUUCCAAUGAUAAAUACUAGGAUUUGAAAGGCCACACCCACCUGGGGAAAUUCCACUCCCACCCGGCGGGGGGAAGCCCACACCCACCCCACGCCCACCCAGGGAAGCCCACGCCCACCUGGGGAAAGGCCAAGCCCCUCCACCCACCCGCCAAGGAAACCCCCAGCCCAGCCAGGGGAAUGCCAAGCCCAGCCAAGAAAAGGUCAAGCCCAGCAAAGGAAUGCACAGGGAGGAAAUGCCAAUCCACGCGAGGACCACGAAGCGAAGCGACCAACGCCAAGCCAAGCAUGGAACGCCAAGUCAAGAGACCAACACCAAGCCAAGCGACGAACGCCAAGCCAAGCCGUUACAUACGCAUGCGCAGAACACCAAGCCAAGCUGCUGCGGCGUGCGCGUGCGGCGUACCUCAGAUGGCAAGUUACUGCACGUGGCAGUGUCCGACGUGUGCAACCCGCGUGCUUGUAAGUUCUGGUGCCACAAAUGUCAGUGACAGCCUUGUGUUCCCGCCAGACCUCGUGGAAACUGGCCAAGCUUCAGGCCAUUGAUAAGGAGAGGCAGCCCGUGGGAAAAGGCGUCUACAAGCAGGACUGGGGCCAGAGCGCCUGGUACUUGAGGAUGCUGACUGUCUCCUCUGAAGAAAGCCCCGAAGACACUCGUGGCGGUGCUGUGCCCAGGUGGCCGCGGCUGCAGGGGAGGGGCAGCCUGGCGGAACUCGCUGCAAAUGGCCUCAAAAUCGUGGAACAUAAGCCGCCCACGGUCUCCAGGCCCUGCUGAGCGGGGGGAGGAGCACGAGCACCUACCACUGACGGUGAGAUGCAGAAAGGCAUCCCUAUGUGCAGAUCCUGGGAACAGGAUGCUUUAAGCCCCAGGGAGCCAGAUCAGGCAACCCUGUCAGCACAGUUGAGCUGGACCCGGGCAGUGGCUCUGUGACCCUCCUGCAGGGACCCUCCUGCUACACAGCUCCACGUGGCCAGGCUCCAGGGUGCUCACCCAAACAGCAAGCGCUUUGGUGUGGGAUGAAAAAUGGAUUCCGAACCUAGGACACAGACCUGCUCUUGCCAACAAAAGUAGAGAGGAAGACAAUUAGGAGUGCAAAAAGAAUGUAUUCUUUUGUAACUCAAGUCUUGCCUGAUCUGGAGGGUUAAGCUAAGGCUCCUCUUGCUUGAUACUAAAUGAACUUUUGAAUGAAAUAGAGAAAAAGAAAGAAGACACACACACUAAAUCGCCUUGUCCCACUGUGAUCCCCUGAGCCAGCAAGCAAGGGGAGGCCUGGCCUCCUGGGCCCUCUCCCCACCUGAGGGCAGAGCAGUUUCCUCCAGGGUUGCAGGGAGCAGCUGGGCUCCGUGGGCUGGGCCACCCUUCCUUCGUUUAUGGGCAUCCCCACACCUGCACUCCCCCACGCAGAGUUCCAUGAUCUGGGUUCAAAUCCCAGCUCCGACCCUCAGCACCUGUGCCACCUGGCAAAUGCCUUACCCCCACGCACUUGCUGUGUCCUUCUCGACAGGAGGGAUGGGAGCCGGUGUCCCUGGCAUGCAGCGUUGUGACAGUCAAACACAAGCGGGAGCAGGCAGACACGUGGACAGGGGCCUGGCUGCUGGGGGUGCUCACCAGAGGGCAUCAACCCAUCUGCCCAGGUGGUCUUGCAAGUCUCAGCACUUAUUAGGCACCUGACUAUGGUAGACAGCUGAACAAAGCCCUGAGCUGCCCUGGGGAAUAUGACCAGGGUGAUGGACCAGGAAGGACAGUUGGGGUGCUUGGCAUGAGUAAGGAGGGGCCAGAGAAAUGCCAGUCUCUCCCCACCAGCUAUGGGUCAUGGAUCAUCUGUAUGGGGCACCCUCAGUGGGCUGAGAACCCAGAGAUGCCACAAGGUUUGGCCGCAUCCUAGGCUUCCUGAAUUCCAGCCCAGCCAUGGCCCAGGCUUGGGGGUACUUUGGGCUCUUAGUUGGGAUGAGGAGGGGCCAGGUGACACUCCUCAUAUGUCCCAGGAUCUGAUCAAGAAAGUGGUGCCCUGUCACUGCCUGGGACCAUCUGGUCUCAGUGAAACAAUUAGGGCAGGAAGACCCUAGCACCCACCUUCUGGGCCACGAACACCCAGGUCCACAGUGUGGCCACCUGAGUCAGCACCACUUGCCUUGGGAGCCAGAGCAUGAAGGCCCAGACAAGACUAGCAUGGUGGAGCAGUGGAUGCAGGUACGCAG
rnacentral:lncRNA from 1 species